GAUUUACAAAAAUAGUCAAAAUUCCUCAGAGUUUCAGUAACGCGAGAGAAAUGGAUCAGAAACAAUGUCCUAGAGCCUGAGAUCGAUCUCGAAUUCAUCGGCGAUACGAAUGAUCAUAAUAUGAGGGAAAAGAGGAGGCAGAUCGGUGGGGUGAGACCCCGCCAGCCACUGCAACCCAGAGACCAGAAGCCUUCCACGAGGUCGCCAGAGGGAGCGAUGGCCGAUGGGGUGCCCCCACCGCUGAUUUGCCCCUCCUUCUCUCUUAAAUCAAAAUCGAAGAGGAAGGGGGCAAAUCGGAACCCCCACCCCCAACCCAGCGAACCUCUGCAUCGUUCCAUCUACUGCCACCAAUUUCCCUUUCUUCAUUCGCACAUGCAAGGGUUUCUCAGGCAUAAGAGAGAGGAGCCACAAGAGCCACGGAUGAGCUUUAAUGCCACGAAAUCCCCUCAAGCUCCAUCGAUUUCCUCCUUCCUUCGAACCUCCCUUUUUUUUUUUUUUCCUUUUAGUUUUCCAGGACGUUCGAGAGAGAGAAAGGGGGGGGCUUGCCGGCCAUCGCCCCCCAGGCGAUAGCGCAGGAGGCAUCUAAAGCCUCUGGCGAGGUCUCUUGUGGGGCGGUGAUCGGUGGGGGUGGCCCCACCGCAUAUCUACUCCCUCCAUUGACCAGGGAGCAGAUCGGCGGUGGGAGCACCCCCGUCGGCCAUCGCACCACUCCCUCCCACCACCCCCCCAACCCAACAAGAAAAAACCCGAUUGGUGUCGCGUUUUUCCAAGGUUCUCUAAACGUCCCGCUCAUGGCAGUGUCUACUUUUUCUGUGGGUCGCCUUGUCAAUUACCCAUGCAUGACAAACAUUCUAGCUAGUAAAUUAAAGUUGGAGUUAAUUUGUUUCUA